GAUGAACGCUGGCGGCGUGCCUAAUACAUGCAAGUCGAGCGAACGGACGAGAAGCUUGCUUCUCUGAUGUUAGCGGCGGACGGGUGAGUAACACGUGGAUAACCUACCUAUAAGACUGGGAUAACUUCGGGAAACCGGAGCUAAUACCGGAUAAUAUUUUGAACCGCAUGGUUCAAAAGUGAAAGACGGUCUUGCUGUCACUUAUAGAUGGAUCCGCGCUGCAUUAGCUAGUUGGUAAGGUAACGGCUUACCAAGGCAACGAUGCAUAGCCGACCUGAGAGGGUGAUAGGCCACACUGGAACGGAGACACGGUCCAGACUCCUACGGGAGGCAGCAGUAGGGAAUCUUCCGCAAUGGGCGAAAGCCUGACGGAGCAACGCCGCGUGAGUGAUGAAGGUCUUCGGAUCGUAAAACUCUGUUAUUAGGGAAGAACAUAUGUGUAAGUAACUGUGCACAUCUCGACGGUACCUAAUCAGAAAGCCACGGCUAACUACGUG
rnacentral:rRNA from 1 species